rnacentral:rRNA from 1 species
UUCCUGGUGACCAAGGAGGAGGGGGUACACCCGAUCCCAUUCCGAACUCGGAAGUUAAGCCCUCCAUCGUCGAUGAUACUGCGGUUAUAACCGUGGGAAAGUAGAUCGUCGCCAGGAU